rnacentral:rRNA from 1 species
UACGUAGGGGGCAAGCGUUGUCCGGAAUCAUUGGGCGUAAAGGGCGCGUAGGCGGUGCGGUAAGUCACCUGUGAAAUCUCCUGGCUCAACUGGGAGCUUGCAGGCGAAACUGCCGUGCUGGAGUGUGGGAGAGGUGCGUGGAAUUCCUGGUGUAGCGGUGAAAUGCGUAGAUAUCAGGAGGAACACCUGUGGCGAAAGCGGCGCACUGGACCACAACUGACGCUGAGGCGCGAAAGCUAGGGGAGCAAACAGG